AUUGAACGCUGGUGGAGUGCUUUACACAUGCAAGUCGAACGGCAGCACGGACUUCGGUCUGGUGGCGAGUGGCGAACGGGUGAGUAAUGUAUCGGAACGUGCCCAGUCGUGGGGGAUAACGUAGUGAAAAUUACGCUAAUACCGCAUACGAUCUAUGGAUGAAAGCGGGGGAUUGCAAGACCUCGCGCGAUUGGAGCGGCCGAUAUCAGAUUAGGUAGUUGGUGGGGUAAAGGCCCACCAAGCCAACGAUCUGUAGCUGGUCUGAGAGGACGAGCAGCCACACUGGAACUGAGACACGGUCCAGACUCCUACGGGAGGCAGCAGUGGGGAAUUUUGGACAAUGGGCGAAAGCCUGAUCCAGCCAUUCCGCGUACAGGAUGAAGGCCCUCGGGUUGUAAACUGCUUUUGUACAGAACGAAAAGGUUUCUACUAAUACUAGAAGCUCGUGACGGUACUGUAAGGAUAAGCACCGGCUAACUACGUGCCAGCCGCCGCAGUAA
rnacentral:rRNA from 1 species